AACGAACGCUGGCGGCAUGCCUAACACAUGCAAGUCGAACGAACCCUUCGGGGUUAGUGGCGCACGGGUGCGUAACGCGUGGGAACCUGCCUUUAGGUUCGGAAUAACUCAGAGAAAUUUGAGCUAAUACCGGAUAAUGUCUUCGGACCAAAGAUUUAUCGCCUUUAGAUGGGCCCGCGUUAGAUUAGAUAGUUGGUGGGGUAAUGGCCUACCAAGUCGACGAUCUAUAGCUGGUCUGAGAGGAUGAUCAGCCACACUGGGACUGAGACACGGCCCAGACUCCUACGGGAGGCAGCAGUGGGGAAUAUUGGACAAUGCGGGAAACCGUGAUCCAGCAAUGCCGCGUGAGUGAUGAAGGCCUUAGGGUUGUAAAGCUCUUUUACUAGGGAUGAUAAUGACAGUACCUAGAGAAUAAGCUCCGGCUAACUCCG
rnacentral:rRNA from 1 species